AUAUUGUGACACAGACAGACGCGAGUGGCUGUAUCCCCUUCCACACUAUUAGGUUCAGGACGAUGUCAGCGCUUACCCAGCAAGCGGACACAACACUGCCACUCCAACUAUCCAGCAGAAGGCAGGAUUAACGGCGCCUUUCGAGGCCUCUCGUCGUUCUCUCCUCUGAUGGAGCGUGUGACAUCUCUAUAGCCAGGAACAUGCACACACUGGACAGUUUGCGGAACUAGCCCUGCCAACUUUAUGGAGAAACUAUGACCAUACGGAACGUUAAGGAGAAACCGAUGCGAAAGUGGUUGUAUAUGUCGCGGUAUGCUGGACGGGGCACGGAAUUUCAACUCCGAGUCAAUCUGAUGAAGCAAGGAUGACCGUCUAUCGACUUGCAACCAUUGCUCCCUACAUGUGUCUUCUGUCAGCAAUUUUAACAGGUGUUUCACAUCUGACCUGGAAUAUGUCACCGGGUGUUCUGUUGACUAUAGGUGCGCUAUAUCUAGCAGCUCAUCAGCAGCUUCAUUACCCCGUAUGCCAAUAUGUCCAGGAAUCCACUAAGGCAGUAUGUCGUGGCCAGUAUCUACUGCUUUCUUGUAUGCGAUGAGAAUGUCCUGUACU